rnacentral:lncRNA from 1 species
AUGCUCAUUGUCGGUCGUAUCUUGCUCGGUUUUGGUAUCGGUUUCGCUAAUCAGGUCCGUUACUAGUAACCAUAAUUUCAAUUUCAAAGAACUAUAUAAAAAAAAACUAACAUUUUAAAAAUAUACUUAGAAACUCUUCUACGUGUUGCGUUUUAUAGAAUUUAGCGUAUUAAAAAAUAAAAACGUAUGUUAUAAUAAUAUGACCGAUAUAAAUGUACCUUGGUUUUGGAAAAGAAAAGUUAUGGACCAUCCAAGCCAACCACUUCUAUUAAACACAAUCAUCAAAUACUUAGGUCAAGUUGACAUUAUUAUUUCUUGCUCUAAUUUUUAUACAACGACGACGAUCAUUACUUCCACUUUAUAUUAUAUGAUACAACACUUAUUUUUAAUUUGUUAUUGAUAUUUUUUCGGCUAGUAUCCAAAAUUCCACAUGGUCUGUUCCUUAACACUGUGAUGGUCUCUUUCUCAACUUUCUCCAUAAGUUAAUUAAACGUAUUUGUUUUUGACGUCAUAUUGAUAUAU